GAGGAAGGCGGGCGGCGUGCCUAAUACAUGCAAGUCGAGCGAACAGACGAGGAGCUUGCUCCUCUGACGUUAGCGGCGGACGGGUGAGUAACACGUGGAUAACCUACCUAUAAGACUGGGAUAACUUCGGGAAACCGGAGCUAAUACCGGAUAAUAUAUUGAACCGCAUGGUUCAAUAGUGAAAGACGGUUUUGCUGUCACUUAUAGAUGGAUCCGCGCCGCAUUAGCUAGUUGGUAAGGUAACGGCUUACCAAGGCAACGAUGCGUAGCCGACCUGAGAGGGUGAUCGGCCACACUGGAACUGAGACACGGUCCAGACUCCUACGGGAGGCAGCAGUAGGGAAUCUUCCGCAAUGGGCGAAAGCUUGACGGAGCAACGCCGCGUGAGUGAUGAAGGUCUUCGGAUCGUAAAACUCUGUUAUUAGGGAAGAACAAAUGUGUAAGUAACUAUGCACGUCUUGACGGUACCUAAUCAGAAAGCCACGGCUAACUACGUG
rnacentral:rRNA from 1 species